UACGUAGGGUGCAAGCGUUAUCCGGAAUUAUUGGGCGUAAAGAGCUCGUAGGCGGUUUGUCGCGCCUGCUGUGAAAACUGGGGGCUCAACCCCCAGCCUGCAGUGGGUACGGGCAGACUAGAGUGCGGUAGGGGAGAUUGGAAUUCCUGGUGUAGCGGUGGAAUGCGCAGAUAUCAGGAGGAACACCGGUGGCGAAGGCGGGUCUCUGGGCCGAUACUGACGCUGAGGAGCGAAAGCGUGGGGAGCGAACAGG
rnacentral:rRNA from 1 species